GCCAUAGCUCAGAGGGCACAGCACCUGCUUUGCAUGCAGGAGGUCCCAGGUUCAGUCUCUGGCCCUCCAGGCA